rnacentral:lncRNA from 1 species
UGUACAAAAGAAAAUUAAAAGAAAUUGUUUUCAGUGGAACAUAACUGAUAAAAUGAGAGUAUCUGAAUAACCGAAGAUAUUAAAGAAUAUCACUUACAUUUAUUUAGGAAGGAAUUGCGUCUUUCUAAUUUGAAGUAUACUCAGUUUAGGUGUGGCCCAUCCUGCUUGAGGGAUUAUAUAUCUUACUUCAGUCUUAUCUUAGCGGGGCAGGAUACCCACAAUUUUGGAGAUAGUAGAUGAGCAUAAAUAAUUUUCACAAAUUCCCGUUUUUCCUGAAGUAGUUUUUUCCACAGUAGACAGUUAAAUGCUUCCGGUACAGCUCUCCCCUUGCCCACGCUUACACCAGUGUUUCUGGCACAGGAGCUAAGGAGCACUGGACUCACAGCCCGAGUGAUUUACUUUUAAGGGAGUAACUUGCACGAAGAGAGAGAUUAUGGUAAACAUUUUAAAUCUCAGGCUUUCGGUUCUGUUGGGUCCAGAUUACCCCAGACUUAGAGAGAGACUAUGUACCACUGACCUGUGCUGAACUGGGAACCACUUAGUGGCUGACAAUGUGUUGUGCUCAGUCGCUGCGUCGUGGGCGUCCCAGGGCAAGUGUCCACCGCUCCUUUUGUUGACUGUUGGCAUCUGAACUCCUGAAUGAACGCCAGCUGUCUCUUUAUAGAUUACUAUUUUAAAAUAUUUAUUUCAGAUGUUCAUCGGAUGCUCAAUUUUUUGAUGCAAGUUGUUUACAAAGGCAAAUAUAUAUAUUUAAUAAUUGAGAUAUUAUUUUAUCGCACAACUUAUUUCCCAAAGCAAAUUUACCUUGUAGGUGUUUGUCUUUUGAGAAGGAAAAAAUUUUUUUCUUUUGCCUCAAAAUACAAAUCGUAAUCCUGUCUUCUCUUCUGUUGUGACUCUUGUGAUACUUGCUUUUCCCCUGGUUUUGGAUUAAGCAAAAGUGAGGCAUUUGUGAACCAACUUGGAGUUGCCAGUUGAGUCGUCAGAGCUCCCAUCUGUCCUCAGGAUUCAGGGCCGUGCUGGUCAAACAUGGCAGUGUCUCCCUGCCUCAGUUUCCUCCCCUCACUGCACUUGAGUGGUCUCUGAUAGUUUGUUCUCAGCAGUUUUACAGAGGAAAACGGUCUUGGAAAACAGAGAGGCUAGAACUCUUUGUAAAACAAAUGUGUUCAGAACAUCCGUCUGCUGAUAAGUGGAUUAGGGUCAGGUCCUAGAGAGGGAAAGAGACCAGCUAGAAAGCUUUUCAUCAGUCUAGAAGGAAAAUGAAAAGUGCAAAUGUAAUAUUUUUGAUGUAAAAGCUGUGUUCCCUGUGACUUUUCAUAUGCUGAUUUAUGUUAAUGUUAUCACCUGUGAUAUGUCAGUGAGUGCAGAUAAAGAUUUAAUUUUCAACAUGAAGACAACAGUUCCUGUCUCUAUUUUUACGAUUUAGACAGUUUUGAAGACAGAUGUCAUUUACAAAUUGUAUUUUUAAGUAGAAAUAAAUCAAUUUAAAGUCAGUGUUUUCUUUUUCCUACCUUUGUCCCUUACAGAAGGCUCUGUGUUAUUAGAUAUAUAUUUAAGUUGCCAGAUUAUUUUCGGAAUUCUCUAUUUUCAUAUUGCUGUAACCAGUUUACCUCCAAUGUGCAAUUGAAUUGUUAUUUAAAUAAAUGACACGAGAUGGG